rnacentral:rRNA from 1 species
AGUGAACGCUGGCGGUAGGCCUAACACAUGCAAGUCGAACGGCAGCACAGUAAGAGCUUGCUCUUACGGGUGGCGAGUGGCGGACGGGUGAGGAAUACAUCGGAAUCUACUUUUUCGUGGGGGAUAACGUAGGGAGACUUACGCUAAUACCGCAUACGACCUACGGGUGAAAGCAGGGGAUCUUCGGACCUUGCGCGAUUGAAUGAGCCGAUGUCGGAUUAGCUAGUUGGCGGGGUAAAGGCCCACCAAGGCGACGAUCCGUAGCUGGUCUGAGAGGAUGAUCAGCCACACUGGAACUGAGACACGGUCCAGACUCCUACGGGAGGCGGCAGUGGGGAAUAUUGGACAAUGGGCGCAAGCCUGAUCCAGCCAUGCCGCGUGGGUGAAGAAGGCCUUCGGGUUGUAAAGCCCUUUUGUUGGGAAAGAAAAGCAGCAGGUUAAUACCCCGCUGUUCUGACGGUACCCAAAGAAUAAGCACCGGCUAACUUCGUG